AGAGGCAGGGUUGAUUACCUUGCGUCGAUGAGGCAAAUUGACUGUGGUUUGUUGAGAAAUCUCAACGUAAUUUGGGGAACUUCAUGCCUUUCAGUGGCAAUUGAUCAAGAAUCAGAAGUGGGAUCAUGAGAGGAAAGAGAGGAGUGUAUUUUAUAGAUCGAUUUCCAUUGAGAAAUCUCAACGCAGUUCGGAGAACUUCAUGCUUUCACUAGCGAUUGAUUGAGAAUCAGAAGUGGGAUUAUGAGAGGAAAGAGAGGAGUGCAUUUCAUAGAUCGAUUU
rnacentral:lncRNA from 1 species